CAAGCAAGCAAGCAAGCAAUGAAUCAAUGAAUCAAUCAAUCAAAAUGGAAAAUCGGAAAUUGGAAACACGUAUGGAUUCGAUUUGAUUUGAUUCGUUGUGUU
rnacentral:ribozyme from 17 species